GCAGGAACUAUUUUUGUGGAUGGUUCUGCAAGAAGAUUCAGAAAUACUCCACGAUGAGGAAGAUUUGUUUGUUGCAGCAGUAUCUUUUACUUCUAAUACUCGGCUGUUCAACGAAUUAUUGUGCUCGUAUUCUUUCAAAGGACAGAACUAUACCAGUAAUUGGUCAGCCACUGACUCUAACAUACAACAAUAAUGAGACAACAGACAUUACAGAUACAGUUCGUUUCAUUGUGAAUACAUCUAUAGAGGGAGUUCUGAAGACAUCUAUAGAGGGAACAUGUUUGAAGAACCACGGAACGUGUGGCUCUGGAAAAGGGAAUAAUGUCACGAGAAUCUCGUCAAAUGUAAUCAGACUUGUAAUACCUUCAUUUAAUGCAUCACGGCAUGCUGGUGCUUGGAGAGUACAGGAAGGACCCAUUAACACCGGUGUAUUUUCAAAUUAUUUGAAUUUAACACCUCCAU